rnacentral:rRNA from 1 species
AACGAACGUUGGCGGCGUGGAUUAGGCAUGCAAGUCGGGGGAAUCCCAGCAAUGGGGGAACCGGCGUAAGGGGCAGUAAGGCGUGGGUACCUACCGAGGGGUUCGGGAUAGCCAUCAGAGAUGGUGGGUAAUACCGGAUGACGUCGUGAGACCAAAGAUUUAUCGCCCUUCGAGGGGCCCACGUGAUAUUAGCUAGUUGGUGAGGUAACGGCUCACCAAGGCGAAGAUGUCUAGCGGGUGUGAGAGCACGACCCGCGCCACUCGCACUGAGACACUGGCGAGACACCUACGGGUGGCUGCAGCCGAGGAUCUUCGGCAAUGGGCGCAAGCCUGACCGAGCGACGCCGCGUGCGCGAUGAAGGCCUUCGGGUUGUAAAGCGCGAAAGAGGGGAGAAAAGCCCGCAAGGGUUUGAUCUAUCCUCAGUAAGCACGGGCUAAGUUCGUGCCAGCAGCCGCAGUAAAAC